rnacentral:rRNA from 1 species
UGCGGAAGGAUCAUUACCGAGUGAGGGCCCUCUGGGUCCAACCUCCCACCCGUGUUUAUUUUACCUUGUUGCUUCGGCGGGCCCGCCUUAACUGGCCGCCGGGGGGCUUACGCCCCCGGGCCCGCGCCCGCCGAAGACACCCUCGAACUCUGUCUGAAGAUUGAAGUCUGAGUGAAAAUAUAAAUUAUUUAAAACUUUCAACAACGGAUCUCUUGGUUCCGGCAUCGAUGAAGAACGCAGCGAAAUGCGAUACGUAAUGUGAAUUGCAAAUUCAGUGAAUCAUCGAGUCUUUGAACGCACAUUGCGCCCCCUGGUAUUCCGGGGGGCAUGCCUGUCCGAGCGUCAUUGCUGCCCUCAAGCCCGGCUUGUGUGUUGGGCCCCGUCCCCCGAUCUCCGGGGGACGGGCCCGAAAGGCAGCGGCGGCACCGCGUCCGGUCCUCGAGCGUAUGGGGCUUUGUCACCCGCUCUGUAGGCCCGGCCGGCGCUUGCCGAUCAACCCAAAUUUUUAUCCAGGUUGACCUCGGAUCAGGUAGGGAUACCCGCUGAACUUAAGCAUAUCAAUAAGCGGAGG